AAAAUACUCCCUCCAUUUGGAAUUACUUGUCACAGAAAUGGAUGUAUCUAGACGUAUUUUUAGUUCUAGAUACAUCCAUUUCCGAGACAAGUAAUUCCGAACGGAGGGAGUAUAAG
rnacentral:pre_miRNA from 1 species